GACGAACGCUGGCGGCGUGCUUAACACAUGCAAGUCGAGCGGUAAGGCCCUUUCGGGGGUACGACGAGCGGCGAACGGGUGGGUAACACGUGGGUGACCUGCCCUCAGCUCUGGGAUAAGCCUGGGAAACCGGGUCUAAUACUGGAUAUGACUCCAUGACGCAUGUUGUGGGGUGGAAAGCCUUGUGCGGCUGAGGAUGGGCCCGCGGCCUAUCAGCUUGUUGGUGGGGUGANGGCCUACCAAGGCGACGACGGGUAGCCGGCCUGAGAGGGCGACCGGCCACACUGGGACUGAGACACGGCCCAGACUCCUACGGGAGGCAGCAGUGGGGAAUCUUGCGCAAUGGGCGAAAGCCUGACGCAGCGACGCCGCGUGAGGGAUGACGGCCU
rnacentral:rRNA from 1 species